rnacentral:lncRNA from 1 species
CACAGAAAUGUUCUUGUUCCAUGCUGAAGCCAAGUGAGGCCAGCUGGACAUAAUAAUUGAAACUCAAAAAUAAAUAAAUAAAUAAAUAAACCACAAAAAUCAUAAAACAAAAAAACCCUGAAGUCUAAAAAAUAAUUAUUAACUGAAAAUUCAGAGAUGUAUUAGAUCAGUAGAUAUAGCCCUAAAUUCUUAAAAGAAAGAAAAAAAAGUAAAAAAAAAAAAAAAAAAAAAAAAAAAGAAUAAAAAAAAAAAAAAAAAAAAAAAAAAAAAAAAAAAAAAAAAAAAAAAAAAAAAAAAAAAAAAAACCCUUCCCUCUAACACCUAAUUUAAAUUUCCCCUCUUUUAGUUUAAAAUCAUUCCUAUUGCUCUCUACCCUUGUAGAGAAUUUAUUUCCCUCAAAAACAAAUGUUUUGUCUCAAGUUGUUUUUGAGCAUUACUGAUUGCAGAAACUUUGGGAGUAGAAAUGGAUGCUUGAUGAACAUUUGAUCAGAGCUUUUAUGUCAUUGUAUAUCUCUGCAGUUCAAAAUAUUUUCUCAUUGAAUAUGGAACUGAUUGGAAGACACAUGCUGUCACAAUAAGUAUAAAUAUUACCUUUAAUUUUAAAACUACAUACCGUGUCAUUUAGUAAGAGCCAGGUGAAGAUACUGAAUAAAAGGCUAAUCUGUUAGGUUGCUAAGAGUAGUUGAGCACGAACAAUGGGAACGAUAUGGGGCCAUUAGUUAGGGGUGGGGUUUGGGGCGAAGAAUAGGUGUGGAAUAUUGCACUGGUGUCCACAGUUUACGGGUUGGUCCGGCCCGGUUUCGUGACUAGUGGGGCAGAGGGAUUUCUUUUCCAAAAUCCGCACCUCCGGAAAAGGGAAACAGGGGACCCCCCC